rnacentral:rRNA from 1 species
UGAGGGAAUAUUGGGUCAAUGGGGCGGAAGCCUGAACCAGCCAUGCCGCGUGAAGGAAUAAGGCCCUAUGGGUCGUAAACUUCUUUUGACGGGGAGCAAUAAGGUCUACGUGUAGACCGAUGAGAGUACUCGUUGAAUAAGCAUCGGCUAACUCCGUGCCAGCAGCCGCGGUAAUACGGAGGAUGCAAGCGUUAUCCGGAUUUAUUGGGUUUAAAGGGUGCGUAGGCUGUUCUGCAAGUCAGCGGUGAAAGCCCGGGGCUCAACCCCGGAAAUGCCGUUGAUACUGCGGGGCUGGAAUACGGAUGCCGUGGGAGGAAUGAGUAGUGUAGCGGUGAAAUGCAUAGAUAUUACUCAGAACACCGAUUGCGAAGGCAUCUCACGAAUCCGUUAUUGACGCUGAGGCACGAAAGCGUGGG